GACGAACGCUGGCGGCGUGCUUAACACAUGCCAGUCGAACGGAAAGGCCUGCUUUCCCUUGUGUGUUGCGGGUACUCGAGUGGCGAACGGGUGAGUAACACGUGAGUGAUCUGCCCCCAACUUGGGUAUAAGCCUGGGAAACUGGGUCUAAUUCCCGAUAGGACUGCAGGGUGGUGCCGGUGGUGGAAAACGAUGUUUUAGCGGUUGGGGAUGAACUCGCGGCCUGUCAGCUUGUUGGUGGGGUAAUGGCCUACCAAGGCGGCGACGGGUAGCGGGCCGGGACAGGGGGACUGCGACACGGGGCAGAAGCCUACGGGAGGCAGCCGUGGGGAAGAAGGCGCGGUGGGCGGAAGCCUGAGGCCGGGACGCCGCGUGGGGGAUGCCGGCUUUCGGGUGGUAAACUCCUGUCGGCCGCGAGGAAGCCACCUGGUUGGAAGGGUGGUGACGGUAGUGGUAGAAGAAGCACCGGCUAACUACGUG
rnacentral:rRNA from 1 species